rnacentral:tRNA from 3 species
GGCCCUAUCGUAUAACGGCUAGUACACAGGAUUCUCAUUCCUGGAAUCGGAGUUCGAUUCUCCGUAGGGUCA